rnacentral:snRNA from 1 species
GGAUGUGAGGCUGAUCUGGCUGCAACAUCUGUCACCCCAUUGACCACCAGGGUUGAUUCGGCUGAUUUGGCUGGCUAUGCGGGUGUCCCCUUCCUCCCCUCACCACUCCACGUCUGUCCCUUCUGAUGCUGCUGCACACUCUGUCAAAGAGGACGGCCUUCCCCAAAUAGAGACUAACUGGUCUUACGAGUAGCUGCUCUCCCCUGCUAGAACCUCCAAACAGGCUUUCACAUAAAGCCUUCAGUACAGUGCCCAGCACACAAAAACUAGCAGGGCUAAGAAGCAUCGGACACAUUCACCUUCACAAGAUGACAAGAGCUUCACCAGACUGAGGU